rnacentral:rRNA from 1 species
GUCGACUAGAGUUUGAUCCUGGCUCAGAUUGAACGCUGGCGGGAUGCUUUACACAUGCAAGUCGGACGGCAGCACGGACUUCGGUCUGGUGGCGAGUGGCGAACGGGUGAGUAAUGUAUCGGAACGUGCCCAGUAGCGGGGGAUAACUACGCGAAAGCGUGGCUAAUACCGCAUACGCCCUACGGGGGAAAGCGGGGGACCUUCGGGCCUCGCACUAUUGGAGCGGCCGAUAUCGGAUUAGCUAGUUGGUGGGGUAACGGCUCACCAAGGCAACGAUCCGUAGCUGGUUUGAGAGGACGACCAGCCACACUGGGACUGAGACACGGCCCAGACUCCUACGGGAGGCAGCAGUGGGGAAUUUUGGACAAUGGGGGAAACCCUGAUCCAGCCAUCCCGCGUGUAUGAUGAAGGCCUUCGGGUUGUAAAGUACUUUUGGCAGAGAAGAAAAGGCAUCCCCUAAUACGGGAUGCUGCUGACGGUAUCUGCAGAAUAAGCACCGGCUAACUAC